rnacentral:lncRNA from 1 species
AAAGAUACACUAUAUUUGGUGACUCGUCAGACUCAUGCAUUAUCUAAGACACUCAAACUAAAAGCAAAAUAAAAUAAAGUAAACAAAAAGCAAAUAAAAAUAAACAAACUAACUAAAAACAACAAAGAAAAUAAACAAACUAACUGAAAACAGCAAAAAAAAAACGAUAAAGUCUCCUCCCACACUUAAAUUGAACAUUGUCCCUAAUGUUUCGAAAUAAGAUAAGGGGAGAGUCACCUGACAACCUACUGCUGACUGUAGCACCUCAAAUUUGCA